AGCGAUACGGAAUCUGAUGGCGCUAUAUAAAUAAUAAAAUAAUAAUAAUAAUAAUAAUAAUUAAUGAUGUCCCAGACAGCCAUUCAAUAUGUUUAGCUUACCCAUUGUAAUAAAGACCUCUCGGACAAUGGAAUAUUUGCUUUUUAUUGGUGUUUAUGCCUAUCGUACAAUAACAGCUAAAUGAAUACUGCAAGCACCAUAACCACAUACAGCCCGCUGUGUGGUUAUGCCCUGGUGCCCUCGCAGUGUAUAAAGUCAAACCGUUUAAUGUUGCUUGGAGCUAAUGCUAUGUAUAUAAUCAGAGUUCUUGUCAAGUCAUUGGCUUAUAGGAAAUCGCAGUUUUUUUUGGUUCGUUUUUUUUUUCUUCAAUGUUGAG